rnacentral:rRNA from 1 species
UUGACCUCAAAUCAGGUAGGACUACCCGCUGAACUUAAGCAUAUCAAUAAGCGGAGGAAAAGAAACUAACAAGGAUUCCCCUAGUAACUGCGAGUGAAGCGGGAAAAGCUCAAAUUUAAAAUCUGGCAGCCUUGCUGUCCGAGUUGUAAUCUAGAGAAGUGCUUUCCGCGUUGGACCGUGUACAAGUCUCUUGGAACGGAGCGUCAUAGAGGGUGAGAAUCCCGUCUUUGACACGGACUACCAGUGCUUAUGUGAUGCGCUCUCAAAGAGUCGAGUUGUUG